UACGGAGGAUCCAAGCGUUAUCCGGAAUCAUUGGGUUUAAAGGGUCCGUAGGUGGAUAAUUAAGUCAGAGGUGAAAUCUUGCAGCUCAACUGUAAAAUUGCCUUUGAUACUGGUUAUCUUGAGUUAUUAUGAAGUAGUUAGAAUAUGUAGUGUAGCGGUGAAAUGCAUAGAUAUUACAUAGAAUACCAAUUGCGAAGGCAGAUUACUAAUAAUCAACUGACACUGAUGGACGAAAGCGUGGGUAGCGAACAGG
rnacentral:rRNA from 1 species